rnacentral:rRNA from 1 species
AUUGAACGCUGGCGGCAGGCCUAACACAUGCAAGUCGAACGAGUGGCGGACGGGUGAGUAAUGUCUGGGAAACUGCCUGAUGGAGGGGGAUAACUACUGGAAACGGUAGCUAAUACCGCAUACCAUCGGAUGUGCCCAGAUGGGAUUAGCUAGUAGGUGGGGUAACGGCGCACCUAGGCGACGAGCCCUAGCUGGUCUGAGAGGAUGACCAGCCACACUGGAUGUGAGACACGGGCCAUACGCCUCCGCAAGGCAGCAAUGGGUAAUAUUUCACGAUGGGCGCAAGCCGGAUGCAGCCAUGCCGCGUGUAUGAAGAAGGCCUUCGGGUUGUAAAGUACUUUCGUCGUGGAGGCGUUACCUGCAGAAGAAGCACCGGCUAACUCCGUGCCAGCAGCCGCGGUAAUAC